CUCGAGAUUGGAAGCUGAAUCGCUGGAGGAGCGGUAUUUGACAUUUCGCUCGGCUCGCCGACCGUCAAUUUCGAUAAUUUUUCAACGAGCUAAGUACUGGAACGAGAUCGCAGAACGAACCACUACUGGAGUCUGCCUGGAAUUUUAAAUAGCACGUUUAUUACCAGUGGAAAUCAGCUGAACAUGGAGAGGAAUAUUCGCAGCUUCGUACACUGCCCCACGCGAGCAACGAAUAAGGAAGAACAAAUAAGAUACGCAAAGCGUGAUAUAGUCAGCUUCAGUGGCUCGGGAUGGAGCAGAGACAGUUGCGUGUUCGAGUCACGGUUCAGACAAUGCGCAAUUAAUGGGAUUUCUAAGGAAUAGACCAGGCUUCGUGGCAAACAAUGGCAGCAACUACGUGUGCACGGGAUAUGUUAUAGUAUAAAUAUGAUACCACAUCAACGUCAUCCGCGGAGGCGAAUAACACGGAUUAAAGCUGUGUGGUAAUCAGAGAAAGAAAAUGUAUUAUCUGAAGGAACACGUUGAUAUGAAUUCUACAGUGAUUGCGUCGAGCUGACAGAUAAUUCGAGAUAACGCGAACUUGAAAGUGCAUGCAGAAAGUAUGAGAGUAAGCCAUAGGUACACGCGACUUGAGAAUAGAAAAUGAGGAAAAUCAGAUAAACACGAGUAAGCUAGGACAGUGUACUCACAAUCAACCUUUGGAACCGGGACCCCAGGGAUGUCUGACUGGCCAGGGACACUUGGGUGAAUGUAGACCCCUGCGAGGACACGGACCCCUGGACAGACACCGAUCCUCAGGUGGUACUCGAUCU
rnacentral:misc_RNA from 1 species